CUGCUGUGUUUGCAGAUUACCCCUGGUCCCCCCCUUGCUCCAGGGACUAACCCUAGCUCCUGCCCCACUGUGUUUUUGCCCCCAGACCCUUUUACAAUCAUUCCCCAGGGGGGCCCACAAAUGUUUGGCGUCGCGCUCACAAAAAGUUAAUCCGGCCCUGUGACUGAUGCGCUGGCUGGUGCCAUGGUCUGGGCGGCUGUGGUGCUCCCCCGUCUUCUGCUGCUCUGGGCCCCGGGGCUGUGGCUGCCCUUCAACUCCCCACUGCCCUUUGACUGCUUGCCGCCCCCAAAAGCCACCCGGAUGGGGGCACCUGGCUCUUGGGGAGUAUCCACCGUGGGCGGCAGGAGCCUGGGGCAGAGUGGGUCUGUUUGGAUUGCCAUGGGGCAUCCUGGACCCUCUGCCUGCUCUGUGCGGUGCAGACAGUGAGUGGGGACUUCUGCGAUGCUGCUGGUGGUGGCACUGUCUUCAGAGCUGGGCAGCCAAAGAGCUAGCCAGUCAGGCUAAUGCAGUGUGUUUCUCUUGCAGCAACAGUGACACCCAGUGGCAAUCAAUGGUACUGCACAGAGUAUGGUGUUUUGCAUGGAGCAACAGUGGCACCUGGUGCACAGUCAAGGAAAGACUAUCUGCCAUUACUGCGACUUGUUGUCUGAAACAGUGAAUGAAGAUGGCAUCUCCCGCCUGUAUGAAGCUUUUCAGGAAGUGCCUUUGAAAUCUGACAGGACCACGUGGCACAUCCUCAGUACACAUUACAAGUGGUUGCAGAAGCUUGGAAAUCUUGCGUGGGGUUCUGCAUUCAACUAGGGAACCGGAACCGACACAGAAGACCUCUUUGUCCUGCUAUGCUACGUACAACAGACGUUUAUCAACUCUUUGGAACAGGGGCUGAACGGUGAGGUGGCUAUUUGCAGAUGACACAAAAUUAUGUAGGUUAGUCGAGCCUAGAGAAGACUUUGAAGCAGUUGAAAGAGAUCUAAUAAAGCCAUGUGACUGGGCA
rnacentral:lncRNA from 1 species